rnacentral:rRNA from 1 species
AGAGCGAACGCUGGCGGCAGGCUUAACACAUGCAAGUCGAGCGGGCGUAGCAAUACGUCAGCGGCAGACGGGUGAGUAACGCGUGGGAACGUACCUUUUGGUUCGGAACAACCCAGGGAAACUUGGGCUAAUACCGGAUAAGCCCUUACGGGGAAAGAUUUAUCGCCGAAAGAUCGGCCCGCGUCUGAUUAGCUAGUUGGUGAGGUAAUGGCUCACCAAGGCGACGAUCAGUAGCUGGUCUGAGAGGAUGAUCAGCCACAUUGGGACUGAGACACGGCCCAAACUCCUACGGGAGGCAGCAGUGGGGAAUAUUGGACAAUGGGCGCAAGCCUGAUCCAGCCAUGCCGCGUGAGUGAUGAAGGCCCUAGGGUUGUAAAGCUCUUUUGUGCGGGAAGAUAAGUGACGGUACCGCAAGAAUAACGCCCCGGCUAACUUCGCGCCAGCACGCCGC